UAAGAGGGGGAGUAACAUCCGGAAACGGGUGCUAAUACCGCAUAGUUUUCUUGAUCGCAUGAUCGGGAAAGGAAAGACGGCCUUUGUGCUGUCGCUUAUGGAUGGACCCGCGGCGUAUUAGUUAGUUGGUGAGGUAACGGCUCACCAAGACGAUGAUACGUAGCCGACCUGAGAGGGUGAUCGGCCACAUUGGGACUGAGACACGGCCCAAACUCCUACGGGAGGCAGCAGUAGGGAAUCUUCCGCAAUGGACGAAAGUCUGACGGAGCAACGCCGCGUGAGUGAAGAAGGUUUUCGGAUCGUAAAACUCUGUUGUCAGAGAAGAACAAGUUGGAGAGUAACUGCUCCGGCCUUGACGGUAUCUGACCAGAAAGCCACGGCUAACUACGUGCCAGCCGCCGC
rnacentral:rRNA from 1 species